AGUCACUAACCACAGCCACCGAUGAAACUAGCACAGACCAGCUCGAGGUGGGCAAGCCGGCUGAAGAGGAAAACGUAAAGCUCUUCCCCAGCCCCCGGUUUGGUUCCUUCCACCCCGCCCAGGCAGAGCUGGAACUUGGCUCAGCACAUUCCUGCCUGCUAUUGCUCUGCCCACAGUCUUAUUUGGGAACCUGAGUUGGAUUUGAAGAGAAAAAUGGACGUACGCGUGGCCCCACAGAACCUCCCUACCAAGGAAUGAACAGGGACUCUUCCACUCCCACCACAGAAGCCUGCCCUGGGCCUCUGGACUUCACUGAAACAGGAAGUAGCCAUAAGGAAAAUCAACAAAGAAGUAACUUGAUGCGAGGCUGCUGGACUGUGGAGGUCCAGAGGGAAGAACGCCAUCCUGGUCCAAUCAGAUCAUCCUUCUGUGGAUAGUGAACGAGCAAUUCACCAGCAAAGAGCCUGAGGAUGCUUGUUCUCAGGGAUAAGACGGUUAAACCGCUGGGAAGGUAGUAGGUACUCAGUCUAUUGGAGUGAAGUAAGCCAUAAUUUUUUAGGGGAGAGUGUUUCAUCUGUGCAUCAUUCAUCCAUUAAAAUUGCUUGAAUGGCAAUGAAUAGCUGUCAAUAACCUGUGCACUGUCGAGGACACAUCUGACUUCACCUUAAAAAAGAAUUUAAGUUUACUUUUGCAGUACAAUAUAAAGUCAAAUUUCUAAUUAGGAAUUAAAUAACAGAUAGUGAAUUUUGAUUCCUUAGCCUCCCCAGAAUCUUCUUCUUUUGAUCUUUUCAAAUAUCAGAGAAUUUUUCUUUUAGCUCCAAACUUCUUUGAGAUUUCCCUCAUUAUUAUGCUUAAAACUAUAACCUACCAUUCUCCUCACCAACCUCUCACCCCCUUUACCUGGUCCUACAUUUAUUUCAUCACACUUAGCACUUUCUGACAUAGUGUAUUGUUAUUUCUUUUCUGUAGUCUCUCUUUCUGUGUCUCUCUCCCUCUCCUCUCUUUCUUUUUCUCUCUCAACCCCCAAAAAUGUCAAUUCCAAAA